CAAAGCCGGUGUGUUUUGGGCAGCCGAGAAGGCCACAGUAAGCCAAUUGGGACUGGUAUAAAGAGCACCAGGCACAGGGGGCCCUGGAUGACAACACCCCCAAAGGAACCCAGGACUUAAAACCUUCCUGAGAGCUGGAGCAAUUUGGAGAUUACAGCGGAUUCCCCGGACGACCUGGGCUCAGGGCAAGAACUCCCGUCCACCCCUCCACCCCUCUUCUUCUUACGUUACACCCAGGCCUGGCCAGCCGUGGGUUGGGCAUGUGUACACAAAGGAGGAGAAGAGACAGAUGUCAGAAAGAAAAACACUUCCCAGAAGGCACACAGAUCUACAGAAAGAGAGAAGAAAACAAAAUAUUGAAGGGAAUCAAAGACAUACUGGAACAGUUAAUCAAAGACUUAGACUGUCUGAAGAUGCAGCACUAGCCACCCCAUACCCUGAAUUUUAAUGAAUCGUAUCUAGUCCACAUAAAGGGAUGGUGAAGAGGUGACAGCCUCCAAGGGACAAAAUAAGCCACUUAAAAGCAAUUUUCUUUGACUGGUGUUCAACUCCAUUAAGUUUUUGCAGCCAUCUAGUCUUGGGGCUCCAUGAGGAAGAAGGUGAAUCUAUCACUGGAAUCAGCAGGAUCUCAAAUAAUUCAGGUGAGGGAUUAACAGCUGAAAUGUAGCAAUAACACCUAGACCUUGAAAGGACUCCCCUGAGAGGGAGACUAGACAUGUUAAAGCAAGUAGGACUACAAGGGAUACCGUACAUUUGCAGCAGCCAUGUGCCUUCUCCGAUUGACCCAUGACGUCAGCCUCCACUGCCCACUUGUUCGUUUUUCAAACAAGCACCUUUGUGCUUUCUCCCAUGCUGCCCCACAUGUUUGCGGGGUGAUCCAUGAAAUCACUUCAUUCUCCACCUUCAAAUCCCUUCUCUAAAAGCUCCUUUGCCAUGAUGCAUACGAACAUCUUGAUAAUGGCUAGGCUGCUGGUGUGCUGACACCACUACCUGUCACACUGACCAAUGCUGUCUCGCUGUUCACUUGUACUCCCUCAUCGAUCUGUAUCCAUGUGUUCCUGCUUGUCUUAGACUGUAAGCUCUUUAGGGCAGGGACCCUCUUUUUGUUCUGUGUUUGUACAGCACCUAGCACAAAGGGGUCCUGGUCCUUGACUGGGGCUCCUAGGUGCUCCUGCAGUACAAACAAUAGAUAAUAAUGUGAAGAUCAGCCCCUCAAAAUAAGAAAAUGGGAAGGGAAUGGGCUGGAGAGACCUUGAUGUAAAACCUAUAUACUUCAGAAGUGAUCUCUGGAAAUCCUAGGAACAACAAACCUCAUAUUUACACCUCAGAAUUGCAUCUCCUAAAAAUCAGCUGGGUCAUUGAAUCAGAUCGAAAAGCACCUCUUAUUGAAGCCCCAAUACCUUCCUACAGCACCUACAUCUUCCCUAGUGCAGCAGCUCUACUGAGAAAGGUUUGGUCCCUUUCCCUUCCCCCCUGGACUGCUUGCCACCCCACCUCAUUCCCUCCACUACAGAUGUUCCCAGAUGUGGUUAAUUCUGCCUACCACCAAGAAAAGCUGUUUGAGAACUGCUGCCUUAGAGAUUCCCAUCCAACUGCUACCUGGACUGACUUGUAACAUCUAAUGGGAUUACAGCACAUGGAGGCAAUGCCUGCAGAGAGCCAUUCUGGGCACCAAGAUCUCAGAGGAGAUAUGGUUGAGAUAAAUCAGUAAGGACCUAAUCUUGCUUCCACUGAAAUCAAUGAGUAUUCCCUACCUCAAAGUUUGAAUUCACUGGAAGCAGGAGCAGGCCCUCUGUUCUGGCAAGAGAUUGAUUCUUGGGUUUGUUGUCUGAUGUAUCUAUCACUUUGUAUUAGUGGGUUUCAGAUAAACAAGAUUGACUUGGUAUUUUACUUUUUGAAAGCUAAGACUCUGUGUUCAGGUUUCAUUUUCAUGUCAAAUCAACAGGACUAGAGGCAAUCUUGGAAUGUGUGUGUGUGUGUGUGUGUGUUUCAAGGAUAGUGGAACACACCUUUCUCUUAAAUGCCAUCGU